UACGUAGGGUGCGAGCGUUAAUCGGAAUUACUGGGCGUAAAGCGUGCGCAGGCGGUUCGCUGUGUCCGAUGUGAAAGCCCCGGGCUUAACCUGGGAAUGGCAUUGGAAACUGGCGGGCUUGAGUGCGGCAGAGGGGGGUGGAAUUCCGCGUGUAGCAGUGAAAUGCGUAGAGAUGUGGAGGAACACCGAUGGCGAAGGCAGCCCCCUGGGCCAACACUGACGCUCAGGCACGAAAGCGUGGGGAGCAAACAGG
rnacentral:rRNA from 1 species